UCUAGAUUUAAAAGUGCCUACUGUGGAAACACAUCUGAUCUCAUCUGAAAGCUGAUUCCAGCUACAGAUCUAAAAGUGUCUUCUGUUGAAACACAUCUGAUCUCUUCUGAAAGCUGAUUCCAGCUACAGGUUUAAAAGUGCCCACUGUUGAAACACAUCUGAUCUCAUUUGAAAGCUGAUUCCAG